AUUGAACGCUGGCGGCAUGCCUUACACAUGCAAGUCGAACGGCAGCACGGGAGCAAUCCUGGUGGCGAGUGGCGAACGGGUGAGUAAUAUAUCGGAACGUGCCCAGUCGUGGGGAUAACGUAGCGAAAGCUACGCUAAUACCGCAUACGAUCUACGGAUGAAAGCGGGGGAUCGCAAGACCUCGCGCGAUUGGAGCGGCCGAUAUCAGAUUAGGUAGUUGGUGAGGUAAAGGCUCACCAAGCCGACGAUCUGUAGCUGGUCUGAGAGGACGACCAACCACACUGGGACUGAGACACGGCCCAGACUCCUACGGGAGGCAGCAGUGGGGAAUUUUGGACAAUGGGCGCAAGCCUGAUCCAGCAAUGCCGCGCGCAGGAUGAAGGCCU
rnacentral:rRNA from 1 species